rnacentral:lncRNA from 1 species
AAAAACUUAUUUUCUUCUCCAUUCUCUGCUGCAUAAUUCACUUGUUGAUCUUUAUAACAACAGUCAACUUUUAUAUGGCCAUAUCUCUUGCAAUGAUAACACUGAAUGCCAUUUUUGUGUUUGUUUUGCUCUUCGAACUGCCUUUGCUGCCCAUCAGAUCGAACUCUACCUUUACCUCAAGCCCUGCCAUAGCCACGAAAUCCUCCUCUUCUUCAACCUUUACUUGCUAAAGUUUCACCUUUUCUCCAGUUCUGUUGGUGGCCUCCUUCACUUGAAAUGGUUAUUUUUCAUUCUUCUGAAGUGAUCGAUUAAUUCUGGCCUCAUGUACUUGCAAAGACCCCAUUAAUUCAUUGAAGGAAAAAAUUGAUAAAUCCUUUAAUUCUUUUAUGGCAGCAACUACAUGGUCGAAUUUAGGAUCAAACUUCUCUCAGUACCUUUUUAACAAUUGUUCGAUCAACAGUCUUCUUUUCAUAUAAUCGCUUUUGACUGAUUAUUGCCCCAGUUUUAGAUAAAAAAUUAACAACAAAUUCUCCAUUUCUCAUGACCAAAGUCUCAAAGUCUCGUCGAAGUGAUUACAAUUUCACCAUGAUCACCUUUGAAUCACCUUGAAACUCCUGCAGAAUCAACGAAGCUUGCUUUGAUGUGGUUGCUACUACAAUACAUGAGAAGAUGGUGUCAUGGACAACCUGUUGAAUAAUUACUAAGGCCUUGGAGUCUUUUUUCUUGUUGUCCCUUAAUCUAUUUUCUUUAUCUGGAUCUGCAUGGCCAUAUUUUACCAAGUCAUAAAGAUCUUUAGAUUCGAUUAGAGUUCUCAUUCUUAUACUCCAGAAUUCAUAGCCUUCUCUUCUGAAAAUGGGAAUAAGUGGUUUUGAAACACUCAUUGCAUUAUCAUUGCCUGCCAAGAUUUUAUUUUGUUUCACCCACCUCACCUUUUUAUCUCUCUCUAUUCACUCAAUAUUUUGGCUCCGAUACCAAAAUUAUUGGAACAAUUUGAGAAACAGAUUUUAAGGAAUAAAGUUUCUAUAGAUAAAGGACAAAAAAUUGUAGAAAAAUCUUGUUGCUUUCUUUUAUGUUAUU